UACGAAGGGUGCAAGCGUUACUCGGAAUUACUGGGCGUAAAGCGUGCGUAGGCGGUUUGUUAAGUCCGCUGUGAAAGCCCUGGGCUCAACCUGGGAAUUGCAGUGGAUACUGGCAAGCUAGAGUGCGGUAGAGGAUGGUGGAAUUCCCGGUGUAGCGGUGAAAUGCGUAGAUAUCUGGAGGAACACCGGUGGCGAAGGCGGCAUUCUGGACCGAUAUUGACGCU
rnacentral:rRNA from 1 species